rnacentral:rRNA from 1 species
UUACCCAAUCCCGACACGGGGAGGUAGUGACAAUAAAUAACAAUACCGGGGCUUAUCAGUUCUGGUAAUUGGAAUGAGAACAAUCUAAAUCCCUUAUCGAGGAUCGAUUGGAGGGCAAGUCUGGUGCCAGCAGCCGCGGUAAUUCCAGCUCCAAUAGCGUAUAUUUAAGUUGUUGCAGUUAAAAAGCUCGUAGUUGGAUUUCGGGUGGCCGUCACCGGUCCGCCCUUGUGGUGUGCACUGGUGACGGGCACUUUGCUGCCGGGGACGGGCGCCUGGGCUUCACUGUCCGGGCCUCGGAGUCGGCGAGGUUACUUUGAGUAAAUUGGAGUGU